GAACGCCCCGCAAGGGGAGUGGCAGACGGGUGAGUAACGCGUGGGAAUCUACCCAAUACUACGGAAUAGCUCCGGGAAACUGGAAUUAAUACCGUAUGUGCCCUACGGGGGAAAGAUUUAUCGGUAUUGGAUGAGCCCGCGUUGGAUUAGCUAGUUGGUGAGGUAAAAGCUCACCAAGGCGACGAUCCAUAGCUGGUCUGAGAGGAUGAUCAGCCACACUGGGACUGAGACACGGCCCAGACUCCUACGGGAGGCAGCAGUGGGGAAUAUUGGACAAUGGGCGAAAGCCUGAUCCGGCCAUGCCGCGUGAGUGAUGAAGGCCUUAGGGUUGUAAAGCUCUUUCAGUAGGGAAGAUAAUGACGGUACCUACAGAAGAAGCCCCGGCUAACUUCGUGCCAGCAGCCGCG
rnacentral:rRNA from 1 species